GUUAAUUCAGGACAGAAAAAUUGUUUCUUAACUGCCGUCUGUCACCAUUUAGGUAAGAAGAUGCCCUGGGUUAAAUAGAAUCCCCUUGAAAUUCAUGUUCAUCCAACCUCAGAAUGUGCCCUUAUUUAGAAAUAGGUUCUUUGCAGGUUAAGAUGAGGUCAUAAUGGAUUAGAAUGAGCCCUAAAUCCAACAUAACUGGCGUUCUUAUAAGAAGGAAAGACAGAGAGACAGGGAGAGGCACACACAGGAAGAAUGUCAGAAACCACCAGUAUUCCUCUAAAGAGUCUGUAUCUCUCCAGCAACUGUUAAAAUAACUUGUUGGGCCACUUUAAAACUAAUUAACAAAGCCUCAUCCAGGAAUAUUAAGGCAGUUAAGACACAAUGUGCCAGCGGCUGUCAGAUGAGUGUCCUUUUAAUUCCUUCUCCGAGUAUUUCUUUCCUGUCCCUCCUAUAGGAAGGAUCACACUAUUUCUUUCAGGGCGCACUUUAUUCAAAUAGUGUAAAUGAGUGGAUAGAUGCCAAAGAGGAAUCUCAGAUUUAUGACAAAA
rnacentral:lncRNA from 1 species